rnacentral:lncRNA from 1 species
ACGAGACACGGGGCCCGCGGACGCCAGCAAGGCUACCUCAGUAUCUCUCUCUGGAUUGAAGGCCAGCCCCCGAUCUAUUGUUGCUGCUGUCCAAAGCCUGGAUCUGUGCAAAAUAGCACAGAGUGUAACAUCAGCACAAUCGACCCUAUGUGCUGGUAAGUGCCUAGCCUAACCUCGGCGAAGUAGUGACGAGGCUAGGAGCAGACUAUCAGAUAAACCUAUGCAGUUCCAAUAUAUAUACACAACAAAAAGAAAAUACUUGAAGUAAUCAAUAAAGGAAAGGGAAACAUGCUUUGGGAAGCUAACAGUUACAAAUAGGAAUUCUUAAUAAAAAAUUGAAACAGCAAAACCAGAAUCAGAAACCACAAACUUGCACGGCAUCACCCUUCGUGCUUUUACUCUCAUCCUCACCAAAUCGAUCGUAUCAGUAAAUCAUGUAACGACAUCCCCCUUCGUGUUUUUACUCUCUUUUCUUACAAUAUAUAUAACCAAUGGAUAUCAGUACGGAAUGGCACAUCAUACGGCACGACAUCACCCUUCGUGCUUUCCACUCUUUCUUCACUAUAUCAAACAGUACACGGCACCCUUCGUGCUUUAUCACUCUUUCCUCACAAUAUUAAACAAUAUACGAAUAUGGGGCAAGGAAAUAAACAAAUAAUGAUAGGAAUCCUGGAAAGAACGAUUAAACAAUUAAAUCCCGGCAAGUGAACAAUAGCAACACUUUUAAUAUCCCGGCAAGGGAGAAAAUCAACCAAACAACACAACAUCUCGGCUAGGGAAUAAACCAAUAACUCAUUCUCUUUCUAUCAUUUCUUAUUUCAUAAUUUCACUUUAUCACUUGAGCCAAUGCUCUAAAGAAUUCAAUGAUCUCAUAUACCUUUUCAAUUCGUAUCACAAACCGAGUCAAUGCUCCUCGAAGUUAAAUGAUCAUAAUGUUUUUCCCAUGUUCUUUGCAACACAUAGAAAGCAUCAAGUAAGCAUGGAAAUUACAACAAAAUCACGAUAAUCACAAUAUAAGGACUCACGGUCAUGCUAGACACCAAUGUAUAUAUUCUCGUCUCCAUGUCUAUACACCGCACUCGGCAAUUUGCAAGUAGAAAACAAGACUCAACUCAUAUUCCCUCAAACUAAGGUUAGACCGAACACUUACCUCGAUGCCUUGAAUUCAAUUCAAGCCUCAACUAUGGCUUUACCCCUCGAUUCCACCACCAAACCACUCGAAUCUAGUCACAAAUUACUUAAGUACAUCAACAAAUGCUAUAUGAAUCAAUUUGAAUGCAUAAAAAUGAAUUUUCUAAAGUUUUGCCCAAAAAGUCCAAAAAUGCCCCCGGGCCCAUGUUGUCAAAUCCCAAGGUUCGAACCAAAACCCAGUUACCCAUUCCCCCCACGAGUCCAUAUAUAUGAUUUGUUUUGAAAUUAAACCUCAAAUUGAGGUCCAAAUCCCCAAUUUUACCCAUGAAAAUCAUCAAUUUUAAGUGGAAAACAUGUUAAAUGAUGUUAAUGAUGGAAAAAUAGUAUAAAUUAACUUACAAUUGAUUUGGAGAAGAAAGAUUUCUUGGAAAAUCGCCUAUGGGUGUUUGAGUUUGAGAAAGUGUGAAAAAUAAAGUUCAAAAUCGGUUAAGUAUAAAAUAUGUUGGGUUGCGAAUAUGGGAUUUGCGAAACAGGGUUCGCAAUUGGGAACCCUGCAGGCAUGGGAAUUUCGAGAAACAUGUUCGCAUUUGCGAACUUAGGACAGAUGGGAAGGUACAGCAUUUGCGAGAAAAGCCUCGCAUUUGCGAAGACUGGAGCUUCGCAUUUGCGAAGGAAAAGGCCGCAUUUGCGAUCAAGCUGCCCAGGGCCCAUCUUCGUAUUUGCGAUGAGCAGCUCGCAAAUGCGAGUUCGCAUUUGUGAAUGCUUGCUUCGCAAAUGAGAAGACUGCAGAUCAAUGAUACCAGAUUUUUUUCCAAUGUCUAGAAAUGCAACCCGUGGCCUAUCCAAAACUCACCCGAGCCCUCGGGGCUCCAAAUCAAACAUGCAUACAACCUCAAAAACAUCCUACGAACUUAUUCGUGCGAUCAAAUUGCCAAAAUAACAUAAAAAACAAUGAAUCAAACCUCAAAAUCACUAGUUUUCUCCAAACUUCAUAAACUUUCAAAUUUAGAGUUUUAAGUCCACAACACGUCAAAUGACGUUCGAUUUCAACCAAAUUUCACAGAAAGUGCUUAAAUCACAUAUAAGACCUGUAUCGUGCACUGGAAACCAAAUACGGGUCCGAUACCAAUACGUUCUAAUCAAAUUUCAUUUCAAAUUUCCUUAAAUAUUUUCAGAAAAUAAUUUCACACAAAAAUUCAUUUCUCGGGCUCUGGACCUCGGAAUUCGAUUCCGGGCAUACACCUAAGUCUCAUAUUUUCCUACGGAUCCACCGGGAUCAUCAAAUCAGGGUCCAGGUCUAUUUACCCAAAAUAUUGACCGAAGUCAAAUUUAUUCAUAUUAUUAUAAAAUAUUAGCAUUUUCACACAAAAUUCAUAUUUAAGCUUUUCGGUUACGUGCACAGACUGUACAUGCAAAUCGAGGAAACCGUGAAUGAGGUUUUCAAGGCCCCGGAAGCACUGAAAGAGUAAGGAAACUUGAAGCAAUUAAACAAAUAGGAUAAAAACUGAGGCACGAUUCCGAGACUGUCUCAAAAAUGGGAAUGGAGUUUUAACAGAGUAAACUUCAGAAAGACAAACAAGGAAAUGAGUUCAAGAAUUUAAAAGAGGCUGAGUAGUCUGAAACAUGAUUAAUCGAUUUUUAUUAGGCCUAAAUCUUGCCUAGGCGUCGUAUAUAUUGCCUAAUUACCUUAAAGGUGAACUUGCAUUUUAAUCCAGUUUUAAAAGAGAAGACGCAGUUUAGCCCAAAUUUGUGUUAUUAAAUUAAACAACUGGUGAGGAGUUCAAUAAUUGCAAAUCAUAUGAAAUAAAAAUCCUAAGUGACAUGAUAUCUAAUGCACAUAAAACUCCUAAAACAUGGUCUCUAAAUGCAGUAAUAAUUUUCCAAAACAGUUGUUUGUUGAUUACUAUCUGCUUGCAAAGUGAGUAUAAUGAUCUAAAAGUAAAGAGCCUAAACAUGAUAUCUAUAUGCGAAAUUCAUGUCCUACACAUGGUUUCUAUUGCACAAAUAGGUAAGUAAUGCCCUAUAAACACGUUUUCUACCCGUUACCAACCAUUCAUAAUCCCACCCCAUUUCACUAUAGCGCCAAUUAGUUGUUUACAAAUUAUUCUUCCAACCUCACUUCUUUCGAGCUUCACAGCCUCUGUCAUGGUUUGGGUGCGACAAAGCUCCCUAAGGGUCCGUUGGGGGUCCUUGGCCAAUACCAGCACCCAAACACUACCCAAACUGUUGAAUAAGUGCAGUGUGGAAUUAACAACCUUGUACAUCAAAGUUCAAUGGGUACUAAAAGGCACCCAAGGCAAUGCUUACACAAAGGGGGUACAACCUAAACUCUAGGAGUAGUGAGAGUGUGACAGAGUUUUAAAGAAAUUGAUUUGAAAAUAGUUUAGGAAAAUGAUCCAUACAAAAAUAGUUUUGAAAGAAAACAAUGUGACAAUUCUGACAAUCUCAUAACCAAAAUACCACAUAUAGAUUAGGGAAGUAAAUACAAACAGGGGAGAAAGGGAAUGGGGACAAGUAGUUCACAUGUAAGAACAGAAACAAUAUUUUAGGACUUAGAGAGUCACACCAGGUUUCAAACAAAAGGGGCUGGGUAUUACAUGCUAAUAAUGUACUAGGGCUAGGGGCAGGGGAGCAAAUAAGUAGGCAUGGUAGAUUAAGAGAAAGAUGAACUAAUACAGGGGCAUAUUAGUCGCAAUAAGAACAACAGAACCAUAGGUAAAAGUAUAGAAAAAACAAAUAAAGUGCAAUAUGUAUAAAACAUGUUGUUUUGGAAAAUGUAAAUCAAAUAAAGGGCAUACCAGUCGAGGAUGAGAUAAUAUAGAGCAGUAGUGUGCAGGGAAGCAGAGUAGUAGUAUGAAGAGAAGUGAGCAGUAGUAUGCGGACCAAUGUAAGUAGCAAUGUAUAGAGCAAUAAACUGGUAGAGCAGCCCAAAAUCACUUAGUCUUGGCUUUCAGCUGACUGACUAAUCAGUAAUCAACAGGGAAAGUGAGAGAGGUUUUGUAGAAAACAAGAGGGAACACGGAGUAUGUUUUGUGUGUAAGAGAGAGUUCAAAAUAAUGAAUUUAGUUCGUGUGUCUGUGCUAAAGAGGGGGCAAGGUAUUUAUAGUUCAAAUAAGAAGUGAAAAUAAGUUAAUACGUAUAGAUUGAUUAUAAUUAUAGAAAGAGUACCAAUUAGAAUCAAUCAAAGGCCCAGACUCCCUUUAGUUAGGGAGUUAUAGCUCAAAUGGUACAUAUUGCAUCAAAAUAAGGAAAAUAAUGGUAUGCAAAAUUGAUAUUCCAUAAUAGGAGUAGUAAAAGGUAUGAUGCAUGUGAUAUGGACCAAGUACAAAAAUAAUUACAAGUAAGGAAAGUAAAAGAUUAAAAAAUAAAAAUAUGUUGCAUAUAAACAGAUGGUUGACAGGCUGAUUUUGAAAAUAAUUGGUUCACGAAAUCACAAGCGAGAUGGAAAAUCACAGGGAAUCGGCAUUAAGUAAAGAAAACAUCUCACAAGCAAAGAAGCGAUUCAAAUUAGUGGAGAACCUCCAAAGAAAUCAUAUACAAAGAAUCACAGAUUCAAAGAGAUGUACAGAAUCGGCAGAACAUUAGUAAGUAGAAACAGUUAUACCUAUUUAAACACAAAAGGCACAAAACCAAGAACCCUAAGUAAUAAAUCACCGAAUCAGUGGAACGCCAUAACAAAAUUAAAGCAUAGAAAUUGGGGAAUAACCCAGAAGAUCACAUAAACAACCUGAAAUAAAAACACAGACAUAUAGUACUAGAAAAAUCAGAAGAUAUUGUGAUUUCGAAAGAGGUUCAGAAACCCUAAUUUUGAAAAGAAGAACAAAACGUUGAAAACAUGAGAAAUCGAAGAAAUCGAGCAGAGAGUAAUGUAAAACACAAAAGAAUAAGUUAAAAAUUGUUUGUAAAAGACGGAGAUUAAGAGGUCUAGGUAGAAGUUAGGGUUUUGUAAUAUAUCAGUGAGAGGUAACGAACCUGGCUGUGAAACUCGUUAAUAAUGAUGUUCGUAGCACCAUCAGACCAUAAACCAUCGGAGAAAGGCCGAAGACAAACCAUACAAAUGUUUUGGUGACCAUCUUGUACGGUGGAAGCUUUUGGAGUCUCGAAGCUAGAGGGAGUCAACAAGAUAAAGUUUCAUGGCUGUUGGUGGUCGAGAGAAGUGAGGAUGGAGGUGGUCGGAGAGGUGAUGGCUUCAUCGGAGAUGAUACAGAGAACUGGAAGGUUCUAGAGAGAAGGGAGAUAAAAA